CCUACGGGAGGCAGCAGUGAGGAAUAUUGGUCAAUGGCCGGAAGGCUGAACCAGCCAUGCCGCGUGAAGGUCAGUGCCCUAUGGGCGUUAAACUUCUUUUGUGCGGGAGCAAUAAUGGUCACGUGUGGCCAGACGAGAGUACCGUACGAAUAAGCAUCGGCUAACUCCGUGCCAGCAGCCGCGGUAAUACGGGGGAUGCAAGCGUUAUCCGGAUUUAUUGGGUUUAAAGGGUGCGUAGGCUGUGAGGUAAGUCAGCGGUGAAAUGCCCCCGCUCAACGGGGUGAAGUGCCAUUGAUACUGCCUGGCUGGAAUGCGGAUGCCGUGGGAGGAAUGUGUGGUGUAACGGUGAAAUGCAUAGAUAUCACACAGAACACCGAUUGCGAAGGCAUCUCACGAAUCCGCGAUUGACGCUGAUGCACGAAAGCGUGGGUAUCAAACAGGAUUAGAUACCCUAGUAGUC
rnacentral:rRNA from 1 species